GAGAGAGAGAGAGAGAGAGAGAGAGAGAGAGAGAGAUAGAUAGAUAGAUAGAUAGAUAGAUAGAUAGAUAGAUAGAUAGAUAGAUAGAUAGAUAGAGAGAGAGAGAGAGAGAGAGAGAGAGAGAGGAAGAGAAUGUGGUAGAUCGAUUAUCUGAACAGUGUGUGUAUGUUGAUCUGUGUAAGAUUGAAAGCAUUUGAAUUCAGGGAUUGAUGUUGACAGUUGAUUUUGAUAUGCCCUCUUUGUAACCGUUUCACUCGAGCAAUAGCAUUGGUUUCCCCGUGGAAGACGUGUAAAUAUACUGUGUGUUGAGGUGGACUAUGAGAUUGUAAAUGCUGAGAGUUGAGCUGGACAAUGAGAUUGUAAAUGUUUCUUUAUGAAUGAAGGAUGUGUGUGUUAGCACACUGGCUCAGUUGUUGCUGUUUUUUAAAUGAUGAACAAUGUCAAAUUUGCUUUUGCAUAUUUUUGUACUUUUGCCUUGAAUUCAGCAAGCACAUUUUUCUGUGUUACUGAACACAUGCGUGAUGCGUGACCCUUUAUUUGAAAUUAACUCUGGACACAGACAUUAGCAAUGUUUGUUUUUUUGAUAAGCAAUUAAAAAAACGCUUUAUUUGAAAUGAAUUCAGGACGCAGACAUUAGUAAUGUUUGUUUUUAAUCGUAUUCUCUACGGUUGCUGACACGUUUGAGUGUUGAUGUGGAAGUUCCUUCUAAUGAGAGUUAUGGCUCAUUUUACUACUUAUGUGGAAGUGUGCAAUAUUGUACACUUGUCAUUUUUUCUGAAACGGCUUUUGAAGACGCAUAUUUGGAAUGACUUAGUAUCGUUGGUGAAGCGGAGAUGCCUCCGCUUCAUUUGUGAACCAUUCCAAUAAAACACUUCCCCCUCCCA